rnacentral:rRNA from 1 species
UACGGAGGGUGCAAGCGUUAUCCGGAUUCACUGGGUUUAAAGGGUGCGUAGGCGGGCGGAUAAGUCAGUGGUGAAAUCCCCGGGCUUAACCUGGGAACUGCAUUGGUGGCUGCAUCGCUCGAGUAUGGCAGAGGGGGGUAGAAUUCCACGUGUAGCAGUGAAAUGCGUAGAUAUGUGGAGGAGUACCGAUGGCGAAGGCAGCCCCCUGGGAUAACACUGACGCUCAUGCACGAAAGCGUGGGGAGCAAACAGG